GCGAUACGUAGUGUGAAUUGCGGAAUUCCGUGAACCAUCGAAUCUUUGAACGCAAAUUGCGCUCGAGGCCUCGGCCAAGAGCAUGUCUGCCUCAGCGUCGGCU
rnacentral:rRNA from 1 species